rnacentral:rRNA from 1 species
UACGAGAGGCCCAAACGUUAUUCGGAAUCAUUGGGCUUAAAGGGCGCGUAGGCGGCGGCGUAAGUUGGAAGUGAAAUCCCAUCGGCUCAACCGUGGAAUUGCUCCCAGUACUGCGUCGCUCGAGGGGGAUAGGGGUCUGCGGAACUACCGGUGGAGCGGUGAAAUGUGUUGAUAUCGGUGGGAACGCCAGUGGCGAAAGCGGCAGACUUGACCCUUCCUGACGCUGAGGCGCGAAAGCUAGGGGAGCAAACGGG